UCCUAAUUUUCUGGGGGCGUGUUACGGGCCCAGCGCCCCAACCGCAUGGGUUAUUUAAGAUUGAGUGUCAACAAUGCCUGUGUAUUAUAAUCAAAAUAUUGGCGCACGAAUUUGUAGGGGCUCAAGAAAUCAUAUCGAGACAGCGGUGGUUUUUGGCAUCUAGGUGUCAUUUCGUGUGAGUGAUAAAACGCCGUGUAUCACAACCAUUGAUUACGAGCAGUUGGAGUGGAUUCAAAAUUUUUUGAGUCAGGAGCCGUUUUUAGAAAGCCACCCCGCUUUGACAAAAGACUUUUAAAUACCUGUUCUUUUGACAAAUUGAAACAAAAACUUAACAUUAUUAAUGGUUUGUUUUACAUACCAAUCUGGUGGAUACGCCAGCUUAUGGAAAAAUAAAACGCUCUUUCCGCUAAAUGCUUAGUAUUUUAAAGUUGACCACCAAAACCGGAUAAGUGGAAAGCAUGUGGCUACAACAACAACAAAAUAACUCAUCCCCAAAAAUCAAAUAUCAACAAAGCAAACAAUUAAAAACAUAUUAGGUGCGGCAGUGCCGAACUUUGGAUACCCAUCACUUUUGUUAUAUUGAGGAUAUAUAUACGGGGACGAAGCAAGGAGGGGGGCCUCGGGCCCGAAGAAAGAAAACAUUUCAUUACAAAUUUUCCUAAGGACAAAAUUUCAAUAAAAAUUUUCAAAAUACUGCA